rnacentral:rRNA from 1 species
AUUGAACGCUGGCGGCAGGCCUAACACAUGCAAGUCGAACGAGUGGCGGACGGGUGAGUAAUGUCUGGGAAACUGCCUGAUGGAGGGGGAUAACUACUGGAAACGGUAGCUAAUACCGCAUAACAUCAGAUGUGCCCAGAUGGGAUUAGCUAGUUGGUGGGGUAACGGCUCACUAAGGCGACGAUCCCUAGCAGGUCUGAUAGGAUGACCAGCCACACUUGACCGGAUACACGGUCCAGACUCCUACGGGUGGCAGCAGUGGGGAAUAUUGCACAAUGGGCUCGAGCCUGAUGCAGCCAUGCCGCGUGUAUGAAGAAGGCCUUCGGGUUUUAAAGUACUUUCAGCUGGGAGGCGUUACCCGCAGAAGAAGCACCGGCUAACUCCGUGCCAGCCGCCGCGGUAAUAC